AGAAGCCAGAUGGGAGAUACUAGAGCAUGCUUGGGUGUUAGAGGGAAUGAUCUGGUAGAAAAAGAAGGAGAGAUUGAUGCAAGAGAGAAGGGAUAAUAGGAGUGUGAAGUCUGAGACGGUGGGAGGACAGUGCCCAAGUGCAGGGUCACUUCUUCCGUUCUCAUGGGAGAGCAGGAGGUGGUAAGUCAGCAUUUGAUGGCCUCUGUUGUAUUUUCUAGAGGAAGCAUUGGUGGAGCCAUCAGUUGCGAGUAUUUAUAGUUAGUGAAUACUAUACUAUGGCAGGUUAAAGAUAUAGUAGAGAGAGAGAC